rnacentral:rRNA from 1 species
CCUACGGGAGGCAGCAGUCGAGAAUUUUUCACAAUGGGGGAAACCCUGAUGGAGCGACGCCGCGUGGGGGAUGAAUGGCUUCGGCCCGUAAACCCCUGUCAUUUGCGAACAAACCUCUUUGCCUAACACGUGAAGAGCUGAUUGUAGCGAAAGAGGAAGGGACGGCUAACUCUGUGCCAGCAGCCGCGGUAAUACAGAGGUCCCAAGCGUUGUUCGGAUUCACUGGGCGUAAAGGGUGCGUAGGUGGUGGGGUAAGUCUGAUGUGAAAUCUCCGAGCUUAACUCGGAAAUGGCAUCGGAUACUAUUCUGCUAGAGGGCUGGAGAGGAGACUGGAAUUCUCGGUGUAGCAGUGAAAUGCGUAGAUAUCGAGAGGAACACCCGUGGCGAAGGCAAGUCUCUGGACAGCACCUGACACUGAGGCACGAAAGCUAGGGGAGCAAACAGGAUUAGAUACCCUGGUAGUCCUAGCCGUAAACGGUGCACAUUUGCUGUGGGCGGAAUCGACCCCGUCCGUGGCGUAGCAAACGCGUUAAAUGUGCCGCCUGGGAAGUACGGUCGCAAGAUUAAAACUCAAAGAAAUUGACGGGGGCCUGCACAAGCGGUGGAGUAUGUGGCUUAAUUCGAUGCAACGCGAAGAACCUUACCUGGCCUUGACAUGUAGUGGUAGAAGCCUGAAAGGGUGACGACCCCGCAAGGGGAGCUUACACAGGUGCUGCAUGGCUGUCGUCAGCUCGUGUCGUGAGAUGUUGGGUUAAGUCCCGCAACGAGCGCAACCCUUGUGUCCUGUUGCCACCCUUAGAGAGAGAGCACUCUGGACAGACUGCCUCGCUUAACGAAGGAGGAAGAGGGUGGGGGAUGGACGUCAAGUCAGUAAUGGCCCUUACGGCCAGGGCUGCACACGUACUACAUGCUCGGCACAGAGGAGCAGACCGCAGUGAGCAAUCCCAGAACCGGCUCAGUUCAGAUGUCGUCUGCACUCGACGACUGAGCUGGAUCGCUAGUAUGCGCAUCAGCUACGCCGCGGUGAAUACGUUCCGAAG